CAGAUUCUCCACUGAGAAAGGAGGCUGAUGUGGGGCUCCAUCCCAGGACCCUGGGAUCAUGACCCGAGCUGAAGGCAGAGGC